rfam:Otolemur garnettii contig155291, whole genome shotgun sequence.
ACCAGAUGCAGUGGCAGGUACCUAUAGUCCCAGCUACUUGAGAGGCUGAGACAGAAGGAUCACUUGAGUCCAGGAGUUCUGGGCUGUAGUGUGCUGUGCUAAUCAGUUCUGCAUUAAGUUUGGCAUCAAUAUGGUGACCCACCCCCAGGAGUGGGGGACGACCGGGUUGCCUAAGGAGGGGUGAAGUGGCCCAGGUCAGAAAUGGAGCAGGUCAAAACUCCUGUGUUGAUCAGUAGUGGCAUCAUGCCUGUGAAUAGCCACUGCACUCUAGCCUGGGCAAAAUAGUGAGAUCCCCC